rnacentral:rRNA from 1 species
CGGCAAGCGUUGUCCGGAUUUACUGGGCGUAAAGAGCGCGCAGGCGGUCGUUCAAGUCGCGUGUGAAAGCCCCCGGCUCAACUGGGGAGGGUCACGCGAUACUGAUCGACUCGAAGGCAGGAGAGGGAAGUGGAAUUCCCGGUGUAGUGGUGAAAUGCSUAGAUAUCSGGAGGAACACCAGUGGCGAAGGCGACUUCCUGGCCUGUUCUUGACGCUGAGGCGCGAAAGCUAGGGGAGCAAACGGGAUUAGAUACCCCGGUAGUCCUAGCCGUAAACGAUGGACACUAGGUGUUGGUGGUAUCAACCCCGCCAGUGCCGAAGCUAACGCAUUAAGUGUCCCGCCUGGGGAGUACGGCCGCAAGGCUA